GACGAACGCUGGCGGCGUGCCUAAUACAUGCAAGUCGAACGCAGGUGGGACGGGUGAGUAACACGUGGGUAACCUCCCCAUCAGAGGGGAUAACACUUGCUAACAGGUGCUAAACCGAUACUGAGGGAUGGAUCCGCGGUGCAUUAGCUUGUUGGGAAGGUAACGGCGCACCAAGGCCACGAUGCAUAGCCGACCUGAGAGGGUGAUCGGCCACACUGGAACUGAGACACGGCCCAGACUCCUACGGGAGGCAGCAGUAGGGAAUCUUCGGCAAUGGGCGAAAGUCUGACCGAGCAACGCCGCGUGAGUGAAGAAGGUUUUCGGAUCGUAAAACUCUGUUGUUAGAGAAGCGGUAUCUAACCAGAAAGCCACGGCUAACUACGUGCCAGCAGCCGCGGUAAUUC
rnacentral:rRNA from 1 species